UAUGUGCUGUUUGCAGCCAUGUCUACCAU
rnacentral:sRNA from 1 species